rnacentral:misc_RNA from 1 species
AAGUUGUAACAAGGUUUCCGUAGGUGAACCUGCGGAAGGAUCAUUAACGAAUUACAAUUCGCGUUCGGCUGUGCUGCCUAAGUGUAUCUGGAAAUGUGCACGCCGUUCGCUAAUCCACACACCUGUGAACCAUUAGACUCUCGAACAGGGGUUCGCCUUCACAGGCUCGAGCUUAGUUCGGGGGUACUUUUACACACGCUGAAUGUAACGGAAUGUCAUUGUGCGCAAGCACGUAUUAAAUACAACUUUCAACAACGGAUCUCUUGGCUCUC